GGGCUUCCUUCCAUCAGAGACCCAGACUCUUCGGGAGCCGUCGCCAUGGGCUGGGCACUGAUCCUUUGCACGCUUCUCACUUACUGGACAGGUGCCAGCGCACAACGAGUUGUAACUCAGCCUCCGUCGCAGUCUGUGUCUCUAGGCCAAACCGUUAAACUCGCCUGCACUGCAAGUCCUGCAGGAAACUGGUAUUUCGGCUGGUACCGACAGCAGCCUGGGCAGCGUCCCCAGUUCGUGCUGUCUGGAAGCAGCAAGGGAGAAGGGAUCCCGGAUCGGUUCUCGGGCUCCAGCAAUUGGGGGAACCCCAACUAUCUAACCAUCACCAAUGCCCAGGCUGAAGAUGAGGCUGAGUAUUACUGUGCUGCCUGGGAAGAUAGUGUCAAGCUGUCUCACAGUGGUUGA